ACAGGUGCUGCAUGGCUGUCGUCGGCUCGUGUCGUGAGAUGUUGGGUUAAGUCCCGUAACGAGCGCAACCCUUGUCCUUAGUUACCAGCACGUCAUGGUGGGCACUCUAAGGAGACUGCCGGUGACAAACCGGAGGAAGGUGGGGAUGACGUCAAGUCAUCAUGGCCCUUACGGCCUGGGCUACACACGUGCUACAAUGGUCGGUACAAAGGGUUGCCAAGCCGCGAGGUGGAGCUAAUCCCAUAAAACCGAUCGUAGUCCGGAUCGCAGUCUGCAACUCGACUGCGUGAAGUCGGAAUCGCUAGUAAUCGUGAAUCAGAAUGUCACGGUGAAUACGUUCCCGGGCCUU
rnacentral:rRNA from 1 species